GGGGUUGUGGCUCAGUGGUAGAGUGCUUGCCUUGCAUGCUUAAGGCACUGGGUUCGAUCCCCAGUACCA
rnacentral:tRNA from 1 species